ACGUUGGGAGGGUAUAGCGAUCUCUACCACAAAAUCAAUGUGAUGCUGUUGACUAAUAUUUUUGAUAAUGUUCACGAUUUAUGUUUGGAAACGUAAAAUUUAGAUCCCGCUUUCUAUUGUACAGCGCCGGGAUUUGGCUUUGACUGCAUGUUCAAAAACACUUCAAUGAAGUUUGAGCUGCUUAGUGAUUAUAAUAUGUUAUUAUUAUUUGAAAAUGGUUAGUGAAUUAUUUUUUUAACACGAAUAAAAAUAUUUAUUUAUACAUUUUUUUAGGUAUAUGAAAGGGAUUAGUACAAGCGAAUAAGCAUAAUCGUAAAUUUGGUGAAAUUACUGGAGGGGCUGAGCAAUAUAUACUCAUUACGUCUACAUAAUGCUAAGUCCUGUAAUUUAAACUUCUGGGGGAGCUUAGUCCCCUUGAGCCCCCCCCAAGAUUUCGCCUAUGCGUAUAUAUGCUUUGGUAAGGCUAGUACUGAAAAAAUUGCGGAAUAUGAUAGGGAAAAAGACAAAUCAAGGUAAUGAUUUGUAUGCGCGGGGAAUAUCUCAAUAUAUGCCAAAAAGCUAGGAAUGACUGAGAACUAAGAAUGUGUUCUUAAGUUGAUGAACAACACAGUGUUUAUUAAACGAUGGAGUAUACGAGAAAGAGAAUACAAAUAGAGAUAGUGUCAAAUGAAAGUAGAGUGCAAAAACUUCUUAACAAAACAAUGUUUAAAUACGCAACUUUUUAUAGUGAGAAUCUGAGUGUUAUAACACUAGAGAUUAAAUUUAUAUGUUUCUGUACACCUAUUUAUAAAGGUAUAAAUAUUCAUAAUAUAAUACAUUUUCUAUGAUAAGUUGAGUUAAACGAUGUAGAAAAUUGAAUAUUAGGCCAUAAUUUGUUAAUACUUUUUUAUCAUUUCUUUUAUUUUGUCUAUCAUAUUGUAAAUACAU